AUGGUGGGGCGUCCCCGGCCGCACGCUCGAGGGCGUGCUGACGCACCUCGAGGGCGCCAACAACCCGCCGUUGGCAUACCCCCCGGCGAGGGCGGCCGCCCCGGCGCACCGCCGACGCGACGGGCAAUGGAUGCCAAGGAGGUUCGGUUCCUCCUCUUCUUCCUCCUCGCGCUCUUUCUCCCACUCCUCCGGCUCUCAGGCGCUGCUCGGCGUCAAGGCCGAGUCUGCGGCGGAGACGCCGCUCGGCCGGCGCACUCGCAGCGCCGGCAUCGUCAUCAAUGA
rnacentral:rRNA from 1 species